GCUGGGGUGUAGCUCGGUGGUAGAGCACAUGUUUAGCAUACAUGAGGCCCUGGGUUCAGUUCCCAGCCCCAGCA